UAAUCCGUUAUCAGACUUAUCGCCCCGAAGUGUUGGUUUAGAAAUCGAGAUUACACAAUACUGUAAUAUCAUUUCACCACACAACUUUAUCAUUUGGUUGGUUUUAGAAGAACGGGUUGAAAAAUUAAAUAAAUUAAAAACGAUUGUACUGUUUUUGCUAGUACAUCGAAUCGAUAAAAAAAAAGGAUCAGCGAGACAAAAUCAAAUCAAACACGUUAUCGAAGCUUAGUUUCCUUCAAGCAAGUACGCAUAACGAGGACUCGAAUAAUUCUACACAAUCUUCAUAAGAACCGGUGAAAUACGUAAUUAUUGUUAGUUUUAGAAUGAAAUUGCAGAGAAAAAUAGUCCUGUACUAAAAAUGAAAACAAAAAAUCAAGUUCGAUUAUAUUUUACACUGUAAAAACUCGAUACACAUACACACCGAUAUUCGAAUAGGAAAAAUAAAUGGCUACUUGAUUAAGAAUUCCAUUAUACCUAGGUAGAAACACCAAUUUAAUAGAAGAUGCGAACUAUUUAUAAAUGAAUUAGAAACUUCGCAUAUGUACGGACUCAAUAGCGCAUAUCGCAAUUAACGCAAUUAUGUACGUUAAUUGAUAUGUUAUAUAUACACAAUGAUCGUGUGACACGUGCGAAUAAUAUCAGAGUGUUACAAGUAUCGCAAAUAUUUGUGCUUACUGGAAACCAUAUCUACCUCCUUUUAAUUUACACGCGAAUUCUAAAUCAGACAUUUUUCAUUUUCCAUUUCCAAGAUUUUCAUGCCGGUACAAGAACUGAAUGCCGCAAACACGG